UCGUACGCACUGGCCCAACUGAUUGAUGGUGCUUGCACCUGAUUGACGAUGGAUCACCAGUGAGUGGCGGACGGGUGAGUAACACGUAGGUAACCUGCCCCGGAGCGGGGGAUAACAUUUGGAAACAGAUGCUAAUACCGCAUAACAACAAAAGCCACAUGGCUUUUGUUUGAAAGAUGGCUUUGGCUAUCACUCUGGGAUGGACCUGCGGUGCAUUAGCUAGUUGGUAAGGUAACGGCUUACCAAGGCGAUGAUGCAUAGCCGAGUUGAGAGACUGAUCGGCCACAAUGGAACUGAGACACGGUCCAUACUCCUACGGGAGGCAGCAGUAGGGAAUCUUCCACAAUGGGCGCAAGCCUGAUGGAGCAACACCGCGUGAGUGAAGAAGGGUUUCGGCUCGUAAAGCUCUGUUGUUGGAGAAGAACGUGCGUGAGAGUAACUGUUCACGCAGUGACGGUAUCCAACCAGAAAGUCACGGCUAACUACGUGCCAGCAGCCGCGGUAAUACGUAGGUGGCAAGCGUUAUCCGGAUUUAUUGGGCGUAAAGCGAGCGCAGGCGGUUGCUUAGGUCUGAUGUGAAAGCCUUCGGCUUAACCGAAGAAGUGCAUCGGAAACCGGGCGACUUGAGUGCAGAAGAGGACAGUGGAACUCCAUGUGUAGCGGUGGAAUGCGUAGAUAUAUGGAAGAACACCAGUGGCGAAGGCGGCUGUCUGGUCUGCAACUGACGCUGAGGCUCGAAAGCAUGGGUAGCGAACAGGAUUAGAUACCCUGGUAGUCCAUGCCGUAAACGAUGAGUGCUAGGUGUUGGAGGGUUUCCGCCCUUCAGUGCCGGAGCUAACGCAUUAAGCACUCCGCCUGGGGAGUACGACCGCAAGGUUGAAACUCAAAGGAAUUGACGGGGGCCCGCACAAGCGGUGGAGCAUGUGGUUUAAUUCGAAGCUACGCGAAGAACCUUACCAGGUCUUGACAUCUUGCGCUAACCUUAGAGAUAAGGCGUUCCCUUCGGGGACGCAAUGACAGGUGGUGCAUGGUCGUCGUCAGCUCGUGUCGUGAGAUGUUGGGUUAAGUCCCGCAACGAGCGCAACCCUUGUUACUAGUUGCCAGCAUUAAGUUGGGCACUCUAGUGAGACUGCCGGUGACAAACCGGAGGAAGGUGGGGACGACGUCAGAUCAUCAUGCCCCUUAUGACCUGGGCUACACACGUGCUACAAUGGACGGUACAACGAGUUGCAAACUCGCGAGAGCAAGCUAAUCUCUUAAAGCCGUUCUCAGUUCGGACUGUAGGCUGCAACUCGCCUACACGAAGUCGGAAUCGCUAGUA
rnacentral:rRNA from 1 species